GCUGGGAUUUCAAUUGGGAUUGCACUGAAUCUAUACAGCAGUUUUGAAAGUAUGGCCAUUUUCACUAUGUUGAUUCUUCCUCUCCAGGAGCAAGGGAUGUCUUCCAAUUUUGAUAUCUUCUUCAAUCUCUUUUUUCAGAGUGCUGUAGUUUUUUUCAGGGUAGAGGUCUUUGAUUUCUUUUGUUAGGUUGAUUCCUAGGUAUUUCAUUUUUUUGGAUGCUAUUGUGAAAGAAAUUGCCCCAUUUCUCUCUCAGUGAGUCUGUUUCUCAUGUACAGAAAAGCUAUUGAUUUUUGUGUGUCAACCUUGUAUCCACCUACUUUACUGCAUUUGCUUAUUAAGUCUAGAAGACUUUUGGUGGAGUUCUUAGGGUCUUUUAUAUAGAAUAUCAUGUCAUCUGCAAAUAAUGACAAUUUGACUUCUUCAUUUCCUGUCUUUAUUCCUUUUAUUUCUCUUGUCUAAUUGCUAUGGCUAAUGUUUCCAAAACUAUAUUGGACAGUAGAGUGGAGGAUUUCAGUUUUUGGCCAUUUAGCAUGAUAUUGGCUGUUGGUUUUUCAUAGAUGGCUUUUAUCAGAUUGAGGUAGAGACUGUCUAUUCCAAUUUUCUGUAGGGAUUUUAUCAAGAAAGCAUGUUGGAUUUUUGUCGAAUGUUUUUUCUGAAUCUAUUGAGAUGAUCAUAUGGUUUUUAAUCCUUGGCUCUAUUAAUAUACUGGAUUACAUUUAUAGGAAAGCAUUUUUUUUUCUUUGCAGGACUGGGGAUCAAACUCAGGACCAUGCACUUGCAAGGCAGGUGUGGCACCACUGAGCUAAAUCCCUGGCCCCAGGAAAACAUUUUGAAUGGGAGGUCCCAUUUGAUGAUGGUAACCAGAAGAGAUAUAGAAACUUAUCCAAGCUCAUCCAGCAAUUUGGAUCUCUUCAUCCCCAUCCAGGGCUCAUGGAUAUGUGGAGCAAAGCCCAAGCUAAUAAGAGAAAAAAGGCAAGAGAAGAGCUUUGUUAUUUCCCCAGGCAAACUAUAA
rnacentral:lncRNA from 1 species